UUUGCUAACAAAAACCAGACUCUGCUGCUUGUGAACAUAAGCAGAGACAGUGUUGGCGCUUUGGGCUCGUUUAUUUUCAGGGUGACGCAAACAAGUCGUAACCGUUGUUACCAUGGUAACCGCGGCCCUUGCCACGGCCACUCGACUCAUAUAGGGCUGAAAUUGAUACAGCCAGUUGAUUUUAGAGGUUUAUUUGUGAGUUGAUAUCAUUUUAAGUGGUUACUUGGUUGUGAAGUGGUUGAACUUUGGACUAAAUCAUAAAUAAAAUCUACUAUACCUACUAAUAUGUAAACAAAGAGGUUGCAAUGCCCAAUAUCAAUAUCAACAUCUUGAAGAAUCUUGGCAAUGCCCAAUCACACUGUCGGACUCUGUUCUGGAAGCCGGAGGCAUCGAUGUGAAGAUCGACGAGCCCUUCGCGGCUGGACCGAUCCUGGCGGAGGAUCUCCAGCGCGUGGCUGGUGCAGAGGUCCGCGGUGCCGCCCACUCAGAGCCCUGCAGCCUGGAAGCCGACAUAUCAUACCAGACGAUGGCUUUCGCUGCGGGCUUCGUGGCUCAAAAAUGCCGCCAUUUGGACCGCAGACUCGGAUGGACGAUGUUCGGAUGGACGAUGCAUCUGCAGAGGCCCUAUACUUCGUUCCAUAUCAAGCUCGCGGUCGGAGUGUCUUCGGUAGCUACUCCUAAGCUGCUCAAUAAUUUGCGUAUUUGAAUGUUACUAGCUGUAUGUACAGACAUCAGACACUGCUUUCAGCGGGGCACUUCGGCCGAAGGCUUGACAUGGAACAGAGCAUUAGCAUCUGUCCCCGACCCAAGAGGAUGGCUUCAAGUGGUGAGCCGCGGCCAGUUGUAUGUGCCGUCCGUCUGGUGGAUGUCAGUCGUGCAGAAGUUUGAGAUCAACUUCUCCCAGAUCACGGUGUUCUCCGCUGACCGGGAGCCGGGAAUCGUCCGGCGGAACCAUAUUUGAAUAAAGUCACAAGUGAUAACUAACAGUCUUGUCCGAUGUUAGCAUUGUCCGUCCGAUAAGAUGCUCGUUCUUUGUGCACGCGGUGAAGGUCCAGCCCCGCUUCAGCGUGUGUGGCUGUUACAGCGGCUUUGGAGGGAGCACGGGAGAGCGAGUGUGUGCCGCCACAGCGGCGCUGUAGGAGGGAGUCUGGCGCUGCGCGCACGUGUCGACGAGGUGACCAACUGUCCACAGGUGACGACGACGAUUGUUAAUAUACCACUUUUAGCAUG